GCAGCACGGAGCUUGCUCUGGUGGCGAGUGGCGAACGGGUGAGUAAUAUAUCGGAACGUACCCUGGAGUGGGGGAUAACGUAGCGAAAGUUACGCUAAUACCGCAUACGAUCUAAGGAUGAAAGUGGGGGAUCGCAAGACCUCAUGCUCGUGGAGCGGCCGAUAUCUGAUUAGCUAGUUGGUAGGGUAAAAGCCUACCAAGGCAUCGAUCAGUAGCUGGUCUGAGAGGACGACCAGCCACACUGGAACUGAGACACGGUCCAGACUCCUACGGGAGGCAGCAGUGGGGAAUUUUGGACAAUGGGCGAAAGCCUGAUCCGGCAAUGCCGCGUGAGUGAAGAAGGCCUUCGGGUUGUAAAGCUCUUUUGUCAGGGAAGAAACGGUGAGGGCUAAUAUCUCUUGCUAAUGACGGUACCUGAAGAAUAAGCACCGGCUAACUACGUGCCAGCAGCCGCGGUAAUACGUAGGGUGCAAGCGUUAAUCGGAAUUACUGGGCGUAAAGCGUGCGCAGGCGGUUUUGUAAGUCUGAUGUGAAAUCCCCGGGCUCAACCUGGGAAUUGCAUUGGAGACUGCAAGGCUAGAAUCUGGCAGAGGGGGGUAGAAUUCCACGUGUAGCAGUGAAAUGCGUAGAUAUGUGGAGGAACACCGAUGGCGAAGGCAGCCCCCUGGGUCAAGAUUGACGCUCAUGCACGAAAGCGUGGGGAGCAAACAGGAUUAGAUACCCUGNUAGUCCACGCCCUAAACGAUGUCUACUAGUUGUCGGGUCUUAAUUGACUUGGUAACGCAGCUAACGCGUGAAGUANACCGCCUGGGGAGUACGGUCGCAAGAUUAAAACUCAAAGGAAUUGACGGGGACCCGCACAAGCGGUGGAUGAUGUGGAUUAAUUCGAUGCAACGCGAAAACCUUACCUACCCUUGACAUGGNUGGAAUCCCCGANAGAUCGGGG
rnacentral:rRNA from 1 species